UUUAUUUUAACAAAUUAAAAUUGAGGGAUGGAAAUGAAACAACCAUUAAAGUUGAGGGACGGUGCAUAAAAAUUACCGUAAUUUUGACACUUAGACAAGGUCAGGCUUAACAAGUCUUUUGAUCACAAUUUAAAAUUAAAUAGAAAAGUUGAAAGUUUUUGACCUAAAAUUAUGUAAUAAGGAUGGAAUUAUGUUAUUUUUCUUACUUGCAAAACUCUUUCAGGGGACUUUCAUUUAGUCACAAAUGAUCACUCAACUUGCAAAUAUCUCUUAGUGUCAUGAGGUAAAUACAUACUAUAUGCCUUAUAGGAUAGUUGUAGUGGCCUUUUUGCCUGCCAUUACUUGACGAAAAUGGAAGGAAAUCACUGUCCUAGGUGCUACAUAGUUAUGCUGUAAAACGUCAUUUUUUUGUUUAUUUUAUAAAGCAUCAAUUUGCAAAGUCGUGAAUGGAAAAAGUAGAUGCCUUUUAACUACUUGAUUGUGGCACAUUUAUUUUUUUGUUAAUCGAAGAUUCUAUUUUCCAUUCAAGUAAAUUUAGAGAUCUGAUUCAUCAGUCUCAUUGGAAAGCAAUGUAAAUCUGCAAGUUGAUUGGUCUGGGUGGGCUUUUAGGUUAGUUUGAUUUCGAUCCAACUGAAAUGAGCCUAAGAUUAAUUGUUUUGAGUGUAGCUCUAAACUGUAUAAUGUUGAGUUAAGAUUGACUUGAGAAAGUUUAUGGUUCAAUUAGACAGUCAUAUUACCUUGUGUAAUAUGGCUACUUGCAUUUCAAAUGAUUACCUAAUUUACCUCAUGCAUGGCAUUUAGUAAUUAAAUGUAAAUGAAAAGAAUAAAAUUUUAAUUCCUGUGACCUUUUUAUACAGUAUAUAAUAAUAUCUGGCAGUGUUUUUCCUUAAUCCACAUGGUUUGUGGGUGUGAAUCAUUAGAGCAACAUUCUGUAAUUGCUGAAAGGGGACUGGCUCCAUAUAGUGAAUUUGUGAUUUUGACCUCACAAGCUUUAUUUCUAUAUUUUCAACUACUAAUUGAGAAAUUACCUCCUUUUUUU
rnacentral:misc_RNA from 1 species